rnacentral:tRNA from 1 species
CGCUGCGGUGGAGCAGCCUGGUAGCUCGUUGGGCUCAUAACCCAAAGGUCGUAAGUUCAAAUCUUGCCCGCGCAACCA